rnacentral:lncRNA from 1 species
AGGAGGUAGGGAGCGUGGUUUACGAAGGGUGGCUGUCGAGAGGAGUUGGGGGGCGCCGCGGCGCCUCUCUUGCCUCGAGCGCAGUGCGACGUCGCGACGCGCCACGUGCGGUGGCAACACACACCGGGGGAGGUACAACGUACAAAAGUCACUUUCUUCCUUCCCAUCGUGUAUCGUCGCGCUCAACGCCGUUUUCAUCCUCGUCCACACGCGUCUUUAUCGUGCUACACCGGUCCAAUUCUUGAUAUUCCGAAAAUUUCGUGUCCUAUUACCGCAGGGUUUUGCUAUCGUAGUGUUCACCGAUUAUAUAAGGGGCCAUCGUUCUAAGUAGUCUCGGUGAGGGUGUGAGAGCGAGAAAGAGAGACAAAGGGAGUGAGGUAAAGAGAGAGAAAGAGAGAGAGAAAGAGAAAGAAAGAGAGAGAGGGAGUGAGAAAGAAGGGGAGAGGGAGGACGGAAAGAAGGAACGAGAAAGAGAGGGAAGGAGAGAGGCACGAGUCGAAGGACGGAGCAAUAUCGCACAAGAAAAGGCGAAAGGUAUGGAGAGGGGAGGCGAGUAAAAGAGAGGGCAAGAAGGGGAUCGAGAAGUCGAUGAGAAAGAGAGGAAGACGCGGGUUGCAUUUCGAAUUAGCCUUUGCUAAUCUAGCCGAGUAUUAGGUUACCGGGCCUUGGAUCGUGUUUGUGAGUAAGCGUGCGCGUGUGUGUAUUCGAAAAUAAGAGGACAACCGAGUCGACGAUAUUGCGUAUUUUCGUCGACCUAGAGAAUGUUUAUUAUUCGCGAGGAGGUCGAAAGCUUUGGAAACGCGACAAUAUCUUAACGACGCACAUUACGUUCGGUAUCGUGUCGCGUUGCGCACGCUUGCCUUGCGUUUCGCGAGUCGUCGACACGAUGGAUCCUUGCGAAGCCACCGAUACGAGUGAAAAGAAGAUGCGUUUGUAAUUUUUCUAUCGUAUUUAUGCGUUCUCAAACGUGAGUCGAACGACGUAUUAUUCGGCGAGAACAUCGCGAGUGCUUUUUCGAACGAUCGUCCUCGUGACGUGUGACGUUGCACCAUUUUCGCGCUCAAAAAAACGAACCGUUGCUCGUGACUCUGUGAUUUUGAAUCGUUUUAUCAUCUGAGACUGUAUUUCGAUGUGAUUUGGACGUGAAUAAUCGAUCAUUCAUCUUGAAAAACUUGUGAAUACAUUGCACGUUGUCGAAGCCACCGACGGAAGAUGCCGCCGACCGAUCAUCUUGGGACGUGAGUGAAAAUUUCCAUAUCGACAAAGUGCCGAUCAGCCACAGGUUUUGAGGGUCCACAACAUUUUUACAAUCACGGAGGACAGUAACAACAAUAUGUCUUACCUCGCUCUGGACUCCAACGCCUGGCAGGUAAGUUGUGACCGGAGAACCGCGGUGAACGUUUGGAUAAUAUUUCGACGGUAGAGCUCAGAAUGACGUUCAGAUGCAUGCCAGCCUUUCAGACUCUCGGAGGCGGCGACUGCGGUGCAUCCUGGUUUUAGUUCGACAACGCACACACGUCCGUUCCCACAAGCGCGAAAUUCGUUUUGGAAAAAGAAAAGAGGGAUGCCCUGUAUCCGCGAUCCAGUUCGUCCACCCGUCGAAAGUGAACACGUAGUACACUAUACGUAAUCCACGAGUGAUUUAUCUCGUGGAACGGUCAGCUGGAUAUUGUCACGACCUCCGCGGCCCAGAAACAAGCGCGAAGAAAGCGAGCCAACCCGUUUUUGCGGGGCCUCGACCCGCGCGAAAACCUGCGAGCUGUAAUUUACACGGCCGUAAAACGCGAUAAUGCGGACCGUGAUAUCUUUGUCCACCGAUGCUCUCCGCUGUUGGCCACCGUUCAACACCCGUCCCUUUAUUAACGAGCAACUGUUAUCCGGGCCCUUGACGAAAGUGGAAAAGUUUCGUCGUACGAAAUCUGUGGACAAUUUUCAACGGAACAGAACAGGAUUCUUCGUGGAUGGCGUUGAACGAAAAUUUGACAAUUGAUGACGCCUUGGAACGAGAGAUGAAGUUAUUUUUAAUUUGCGUGUGUAAUUAUAAUAAGCGAUAUAAUAAUUUGUGAAACUUGAAUAUUUGUAAGAAUCGGUAGUUAUGUAAAUAUUGUUAGAAUAUAUUUAAUAAACAAUAAAUUGUGUUGUAUGGAUAU